GUGCUCGCUUUGGCAGCACAUAUACUAAAAUUGGAACGAUACAGAGAUUAGCAUGGCCCCUGCUCAAGGAUGACACACAAUUUCGUGAAGCGUUCCAUACAUUU
rnacentral:snRNA from 1 species